CCUACGGGAUGCACCAGUGAGGGAUUUUGCGCAAUGGGGGUAACCCUGACGCAGCAACGCCGCGUGAGUGAAGAAGGCCUUCGGGUCGUAAAGCUCUGUCAAGUGGGAAGAACCCGCAUCAGGUCAACAGGCUGAUGCGCUGACGGUACCACUGAAGGAAGCACCGGCUAACUCCGUGCCAGCAGCCGCGGUAAUACGGAGGGUGCAAGCGUUAUUCGGAAUCACUGGGCGUAAAGGGCGCGCAGGCGGCUGGGCAAGUCAGUAGUGAAAGCCCGGGGCUCAACCCCGGAAGUGCUGCUGAAACUGUCUGGCUUGAGUAUGGUAGAGGGAAGCGGAAUUCCUGGUGUAGCGGUGAAAUGCGUAGACAUCAGGGGGAACACCGGUGGCGAAGGCGGCUUCCUGGACCAAUACUGACGCUGAGGCGCGAAGGCGUGGGUAGCAAACAGGAUUAGAUACCCUUGUAGUC
rnacentral:rRNA from 1 species